CCGGAAUAAGCCCCGGCUAACUACGUGCCAGCAGCCACGGUAACACGUAGGGGGCGAGCGUUGUUCGGAAUCAUUGGGCGUAAAGGGCGCGCAGGCGGCCCUGCAAGUCGGAUGUGAAAGAUCAAGGCUCAACCUUGACAGGCCAUUCGAAACUGUGGGGCUUGAGUGUCAGAGGGGAAAGUGGAAUUCCUAGUGGAGCGGUAAAAUGCGCAGAUAUUAGGAGGAACACCGGUGGCGAAGGCGACUUUCUGGCUGACAACUGACGCUGAGGCGCGAAAGCGUGGGGAACAAUCAAGGGUAGAUACCCUGGUAGUCCACGCCGUAAACGAUGAUUACUAGGUGUAGGGGGUAUCGACUCCCUCUGUGCCACAGUUAACGCAUUAGGUAAUCCACCUGGGGAGUACGGCCGCAAGGUUAAAACUCAAAGGAAUUGACGGGGGCCCGCACAAGCAGUGGAGUAUGUGGAUUAAUUCGAGGCAACGCGAAGAACCUUACCAGGGCUUGACAUCUCCUGAAGACACAAGAGAUUGUGUUGUCCCUUCGGGGCAGGAAGACAGGUGGUGCAUGGUUGUCGUCAGCUCGUGUCGUGAGAUGUUCGGUUAAGUCCGGCAACGAGCGCAACCCCUGUGGCCAGUUGCCAUCAUUCAGUUGGGCACUCUGGCAAGACCGCCGUUAACAAAACGGAGGAAGGUGGGGAUGACGUCAAAUCAUCAUGCCCCUUAUGUCCUGGGCUUCACACGUACUACAAUGGUAGCAACAGAGGGCAGCCACACCGCGAGGUGGAGCGAAUCCCAAAAUGUUAUCUCAGUUCGGAUUGCAGGCUGAAACUCGCCUGCAUGAAGCAGGAAUUGCUAGUAAUGGCAGGUCAGCAUACUGCCGUGAAUACGUUCCCGGGC
rnacentral:rRNA from 1 species